rnacentral:lncRNA from 1 species
UUAAUCUACCUUAGAUUGUUAGUUAUUUUAAGACAUGUUAAGGUCAAGCAUAGUCAUAGAGUAUACUUAUAUAAGCAAUUUGACUCUAGUUUAGACUCUAAAUCAUAGUUAAUAUUCAUAGAUGCCACAUAAGUCCUUAGCUUGGCAAUUUAUCAAACAUGUAGGGUGCAAUCCACAUAUAGGCACAUAGUACAUAUAUUAAAAGCAACUUGGUUCCAGCCUUAUGGCUACUGAUCAAGAACAUUUGAUAGUGCAAGGGAAGGAUUCUUCAUUCAUAUUCAAGUUAAUGGUGACUUUUAUAAGAAAAUAGCCCAGUAAUUGAAGUUGUGAUAGAACCCAUAGAUGAAAAGCAAUGAACAAUUUCAGUCUAUAGGUAGUAAGCAUCAUCCAAAUAAUCUAGGUCUCUAUUUGGGGGUCUCAAGAUAAAUCUUACAAGAAGGUAAAACAAACCAGAUACAAAGAAUAUAAUAGCCUAUAUGAUAAUUAAUGAUUAGAAGUAUACUCGGACUUUCCUUGUUGUUCAAACUAAAACCAUCAUUAUCUGUUUGAAAAUUGGAUAAGGGAGAUGGUGGUGGCAGAGGAAAAUAUAAUGGUUGUUGCGAUGUAGAAUCUAUGUCAACAUCUAGCAGUUUUUGAACUCCCUCACUGAUCCUUGGGAACUUAAUUGCCUUCCCCAUUGCUGCCGCCGCUGCUGCUGCAACCUUAUUCUAAUUCCUCCACCUCCUUUGACACCAAACCCUAGCCCAAAUUUCUAAUACAAAAUUUUCAUUUAGAACGAGAGAGAGAAAGAAAGAAAAAAUAAAGAAAGUAGGAAGAUUGCAAAAUUUUCAUUCAGAACCUUAACUACCAAUUGGGAGUGAAGAAUUAGAAACGGCUUUGCCCUCUUUUGCAAUUUUUUUUUGGUAGAAUUAAGAAAUUGAGGGUAGAUCACAAUCACCUUUCUACAAAUCGGCAUUGAGAUGGUAGAUCAGCAGUGGCACAAAGAGGAGAGAGGACUGCCUUCAACAAUGGGUUGUAAAACGAGGAAUUAGAGAGUUUGAAACAAAACUGGGUAACGAGGGAUUUGAGCUCGAC